GGAGUAACUUUCCGCUUUUAUUCGUUUAUUAAUAUUAACCACCACAAACCACCACCUCCAACUCCUCCGCCACUAGCCCUCGGCGGACUAAGCUCGAAUCAUCAGCUGUUUUCGGCAACUAAAUUUUCAUAAUUACUACGAAAUAAUCUACUCUAUAAAACCAUAAAAUCAUGAUUCACUUUGUGCUUCUAAUUAGCCGACAAGGAAAAGUGAGGUUGACAAAGUGGUAUUCACCUUAUCCCCAGAAGGAAAGAACUAAGGUUAUCCGGGAGCUUAGUGGUUUAAUUCUCACUCGAGGUCCCAAGCUUUGUAACUUUGUGGAAUGGAGGGGAUUCAAGGUCGUUUAUAGAAGAUAUGCCAGCCUUUAUUUCUGCAUGUGCAUCAACCAGGAUGACAAUGAAUUGGAAAUCCUUGAAAUCAUUCACCAUUAUGUUGAGAUUCUAGAUCGUUAUUUUGGAAGUGUGAGCCUUCUGAAACUUAAGAGCACCCUAGAUAUAAGGUUUGUGAGCUAGAUUUGAUCUUCAACUUCCACAAGGCUUAUUACAUUUUGGAUGAACUACUGAUUGCUGGUGAGCUUCAAGAAUCUAGCAAGAAAACUGUAGCACGUCAUAUAGCUGCACAGGAUUCUUUGGUGGAGACUGCCAAAGAACAGGCAAGUUCUUUGAGUAACAUAAUCGCUGAGGCAACAAAAUGAGAGCCUCAUAGACAUGUGAGCGUUUAGAGGCUCAAAUUCAGCAUCUUGUAUGAUCUCUGGCACUCACUGGCUUGGCAGUUUUACUGGUCUGCAAUUCAAUUUUAAGGAAUAUUACAUCUUACUCCGGGCAAUAUGGAAUGUGGAGUUUUAUGCUUUGUCUAUUUUACCUAUAGCAGAUCUUAAUUGAUUUUUUGAUUAUUUAUUUAUUUAGACCGGCGAGGAAUGUUAUACAGUACGCUUGGUGACCUGUAUGAUGUUAUACAGUACUCUUUGGUUUUCUUUUUUUUUUUUU